CAGAAGUCAGGUCGGACUAAGCCAUAGUACGGAAAAAACUAUGCUACCUGUGAGCCCCGUCCAAGGACGUUAAAAGAAGUCAGGCCACUACAAGUGCCAUAGCUUGAGUAAACUGUGCAGCCUGUAGCUCCACCUGGGAAGGUGUAAAAAAUCUGGGAGGCCACAAACCAUGGAAGCUGUACGCAUGGCGUAGUGGACUAGCGGUUAGAGGAGACCCCUCCCUUGCAAAUCGCAGCAACAAUGGGGGCCCAAGGUGAGAUGAAGCUGUAGUCUCACUGAAAGGACUAGAGGUUAGAGGAGACCCCCCCGAAAUAAAAAAC
rnacentral:lncRNA from 1 species